UGGGGAAUUGUUCACAAUGGGCGCAAGCCUGAUGACGCAACGCCGCGUGGGGGAUGAAGGUCUUCGGAUUGUAAACCCCUGUCGAAUGGGACGAAAGACUCGCGAGUUAAUACUUCGCGGGAGUGACGGUACCGUUAAAGGAAGCCACGGCUAACUCUGUGCCAGCAGCCGCGGUAAUACAGAGGUGGCAAGCGUUGUUCGGAAUUACUGGGCGUAAAGGGCGCGUAGGCGGCCCUCUAAGUCAGACGUGAAAUCCCCCGGCUUAACCUGGGAACUGCGUCUGAUACUGGAGGGCUUGAGUAUGGGAGAGGGAUGUAGAAUUCCAGGUGUAGCGGUGAAAUGCGUAGAUAUCUGGAGGAAUACCGGUGGCGAAGGCGGCAUCCUGGACCAUUACUGACGCUGAGGCGCGAAAGCUAGGGGAGCAAACGGGAUUAGAUACCCCCGUAGUCCCUGAGCGGGCUGGCAAGGCGCAU
rnacentral:rRNA from 1 species